rnacentral:rRNA from 1 species
GCUUAGGGCCAUACCAGCCUGGCUAUGCCUGAUCUCAUUUGAUCUCGGAAGCUAAGCAGGUUUGGGCCUGGUUAGUACUUGGAUGCGAGACUGCCUGGGAAUACCAGGUGCAGUAAGCU